rnacentral:rRNA from 1 species
AUACGGAGGGGGUUAGCGUUGUUCGGAAUUACUGGGCGUAAAGCGCACGUAGGCGGAUUGGAAAGUUGGGGGUGAAAUCCCAGGGCUCAACCCUGGAACUGCCUCCAAAACUAACAGUCUAGAGUUCGAGAGAGGUGAGUGGAAUUCCAAGUGUAGAGGUGAAAUUCGUAGAUAUUUGGAGGAACACCAGUGGCGAAGGCGGCUCACUGGCUCGAUACUGACGCUGAGGUGCGAAAGCGUGGGGAGCAAACAGGAGUAGAAACCCUAGUAGUCC